UACGUAGGGGGCAAGCGUUGUCCGGAAUCAUUGGGCGUAAAGCGCGCGUAGGCGGCCCGGUAAGUCCGCUGUAAAAGUCCAGGGCUCAACCCUGGAAAGCCGGUGGAUACUGUCGGGCUAGAGUCCGGAAGAGGCGAGUGGAAUUCCCAGUGUAGCGGUGAAAUGCGUAGAUAUUGGGAGGAACACCAGUGGCGAAGGCGGCUCACUGGACCGGAACUGACGCUGAGGCGCGAAAGCGUGGGGAGCAAACGGG
rnacentral:rRNA from 1 species